rnacentral:lncRNA from 13 species
AUGCACGUCUCAUUUACAUAUACCCCUCCACCCAAUAAAGGGAAUGCACGUCUCAUUUACAUAUACCCCUCCAACCAACCAAUAAAGGGAAUGCACGUCUCAUUUACAUAUACCCCUCCAACCAACCAAAUAAAGGGAAUGCACGUCUCAUUUACAUAUACCCCUCCAACCAACCAAAUAAAGGGAAUUCACUUCUCUUUCAGGCACAUAAGUCUACAUGGAUCCCCCAGUGGU